AACGUAGGAGGCGAGCGUUAUCCGGAUUUACUGGGCGUAAAGCGCACGCAGGCGGCUUCGUGAGUCGCAGGUGAAAGCGCCUGGCUUAACUGGGCGAGGUCCUGCGAGACUGCGAGGCUUGAGGUUGGGAGAGGGGUGCGGAAUUCCCGGUGUAGUGGUGGAAUGCGUAGAGAUCGGGAGGAACACCUGUGGCGAAGGCGGCACCCUGGCCCACACCUGACGCUGAGGUGCGAAAGCGUGGGGAGCAAAC
rnacentral:rRNA from 1 species